rnacentral:rRNA from 1 species
UACGGGGGGGGCAAGCGUUGUUCGGAAUUACUGGGCGUAAAGGGCGCGUAGGCGGUUCGAUAAGUCAGCUGUGAAAACCAUGGGCUUAACUCAUGGCCUGCAGUUGAGACUGUCGGGCUGGAGUGUGGGAGAGGAGAGUGGAAUUCCUGGUGUAGCGGUGAAAUGCGUAGAUAUCUGGAGGAACACCGGUGGCGAAGGCGGCAUCCUGGACCGGUAUUGACGCUGAGGCGCGAAAGCUAGGGGAGCAAACGGG